GACGGAGGAUGCAAGCGUUAUCCGGAAUGAUUGGGCGUAAAGCGUCCGCAGGUGGCAGUUCAAGUCUGCUGUCAAAGACCGGGGCUUAACUUCGGAAAGGCAGUGGAAACUGAACAGCUAGAGUAUGGUAGGGGCAGAGGGAAUUCCAGGUGUAGCGGUGAAAUGCGUAGAUAUCUGGAGGAACACCGGUGGCGAAGGCGGCAUCCUGGACCGGCAUUGACGCUGAGGCGCGAAAGCCAGGGGAGCAAACGGG
rnacentral:rRNA from 1 species